GUUAUGGUCCAAAUCCUCACACGAAAGGACUGCAAUUUGAGUUAGGUACCCAAUGAGUUUGUUUCAAAGUAUAACCAUUUUGUAGAAGAAAAAAAUGUAUGUCAAAAGCAUAAUUUACGGAAUGAAAAAUAUUGGAACUGAGCAUUUUGCUCUUUAAUGUUUCUCUUUUGUGGUUUUCAUUUGAAAUUUUCUAUUUAAAGGAAGUAUGAUUAUGAUCAGCAUACAAUUGACUCAAUGAGCAAUCCAAGCCCAAUUUGUAACUAAAGGGUGUUGCUUCUCUAAAUUUGUUGCUGUUGUUGUUUUUACUACCAACAGGUUGCAGAAUACCUUGUUCCCUCUAUCAGAUCGGUCCCUAGCAGUCAGUCCAUGAAGCCAACCUACAUAAAAUUCUUAACAGGCCUUAAGGCGUACUCCCAGAUUUUUUCAAGAAUUGCUUUUGGUGCAAGGAGGAAUAGAUACGUUAUUGAAGAUUGAAUGGCUUAUUCGCUUUCGGGAUUAGGAAAGAACAACGUUCUUUCUGCAAUGAAGAGUGCGUUGUGGUUCAGCACAAGUUCCAUGAACUGUGUGGGUCCAAAUGCAAAAUCAACUCUAUUUUUAAUCCUCCUUUCUUUGUGAAACUCAUCUGCAGGUAUGGGAAAAGCUUUUGUGUCUGCAAAGGCUUUUUCAUUCUUCUCAUGUUAGGGCCGCACUGGUAAAUUAAUAAUAAUGCCUCUUCUUUUUUUCCUUUUUUUUCUUUUGGUUGAGCAACUACUGGUAAAAUAAUUUCAUAAACAAUAAUAUUGAGGUUGACACCAAAUUAUUUUUUGAAGAACAGUUACAGUAUUCAGAUUUGCGUUUACUAGAAAAUAAUGAUUGGUUGAGAACAUAGGGUUCCAUAUGCAUUUUUUUAAUUCUUAAAUACAGAAAGCAUCUCAGUACUACACAAAUUGAUUAAUGAGGUUUAUAUGGGAUCCUGAUAUAUAGUAUUGCCACUUGUUCUCAAAACUC